ensembl:snRNA U6 U6 spliceosomal RNA
GUGUUUACUUUGUCAGCACAUAUACUAAAAUUGGAACUAUACAGAGAAAAGUAGCAUUAUUCCUGUUCAAGGAUGACACACAGAUUCGUGAAGUGUUAGAUAUUUUA